GACGAACGCUGGCGGCGUGCUUAACACAUGCAAGUCGAACGGAAAGGCCCUGCUUUUGUGGGGUGCUCGAGUGGCGAACGGGUGAGUAACACGUGAGUAACCUGCCCUUGACUUUGGGAUAACUUCAGGAAACUGGGGCUAAUACCGGAUAGGAGCUCCUGCUGCAUGGUGGGGGUUGGAAAGUUUCGGCGGUUGGGGAUGGACUCGCGGCUUAUCAGCUUGUUGGUGGGGUAGUGGCUUACCAAGGCUUUGACGGGUAGCCGGCCUGAGAGGGUGACCGGCCACACUGGGACUGAGAUACGGCCCAGACUCCUACGGGAGGCAGCAGUGGGGAAUAUUGCACAAUGGGCGGAAGCCUGAUGCAGCAACGCAGCGUGCGGGAUGACGGCCUUCGGGUUGUAAACCGCUUUCGCCUGUGACGAAGCGUGAGUGACGGUAAUGGGUAAAGAAGCACCGGCUAACUACGUG
rnacentral:rRNA from 1 species